GACGAACGCUGGCGGCGUGCCUAACACAUGCAAGUAGAACGCAGUGGCGAAAGGGUGAGUAACACGUAGGUAACUGUCUCAUUGCGGGGGGUAACUAUUGGGAACGAUAGCUAAUACCGCAUACUGUGAGAUGGAACUGCGUUGUAUUAGAUAGUUGGUGAGGUAAAGGCUCACCAAGGCGGCGAUACAUAGCCGACCUGAGAGGGUGAUCGGCCACAUGUGGACUGAGACACGGCCCAGAAUCCUACGGGAGGCAGCAGUAGGGAAUCUUCGGCAAUGGACGGAAGUCUGACCGAGCAACGCCGCGUGAGUGAAGAAGGUUUUCGGGUUGUAAAGCUCUGUUGUUAGAGAAGCGGUACCUAAACAGAAAGCGACGGCUAACUACGUGCCAGCAGCCGCGGUAAUAC
rnacentral:rRNA from 1 species